rnacentral:rRNA from 1 species
AACGAACGCUGGCGGCAGGCUUAACACAUGCAAGUCGAGCGCCCCGCAAGGGGAGCGGCAGACGGGUGAGUAACGCGUGGGAAUCUACCCAUCUCUACGGAAUAACGCAUGGAAACGUGUGCUAAUACCGUAUACGUCCUUCGGGAGAAAGAUUUAUCGGAGAUGGAUGAGCCCGCGUUGGAUUAGCUAGUUGGUGGGGUAAAGGCCGACCAAGGCGACGAUCCAUAGCUGGUCUGGGAGGAUGAUCAGCCACACUGGGACGGAGACACGGCCCAGACUCCUACGGGAGGCAGCAGUGGGGAAUAUUGGACAAUGGGCGCAAGCCUGAUCCAGCCAUGCCGCGUGAGUGAUGAAGGCCCUAGGGUUGUAAAGCUCUUUCACCGGUGAAGAUAAUGACGGUAACCGGAGAAGAAGCCCCGGCUAACUUCGUGCCAGCCGCCGCCGUAAAAC